rnacentral:rRNA from 1 species
GGACUACAAGGGUUUCUAAUCCUGUUUGCUCCCCACGCUUUCGCACCUCAGCGUCAGUUCCGGGCCAGUGAGCCGCCUUCGCCACUGGUGUUCUUGCGAAUAUCUACGAAUUUCACCUCUACACUCGCAGUUCCACUCACCUCUCCCGGACUCAAGAUCCCCAGUAUCAAAGGCAGUUCCGAGGUUGAGCCCCGGCAUUUCACCCCUGACUUAAGAAUCCGCCUACGUGCGCUUUACGCCCAGUGAUUCCGAACAACGCUAGCCCCCUUCGUAUUACCGCGGCUGCUGGCAC